rnacentral:rRNA from 1 species
UACGUAGGGUGCGAGCGUUGUCCGGAAUUACUGGGCGUAAAGAGCUCGUAGGUGGUUUGUCGCGUUGUUCGUGAAAACUCACAGCUUAACUGUGGGCGUGCGGGCGAUACGGGCAGACUGGAGUACUGUAGGGGAGACUGGAAUUCCUGGUGUAGCGGUGAAAUGCGCAGAUAUCAGGAGGAACACCGGUGGCGAAGGCGGGUCUCUGGGCCGAUACUGACGCUGAGGAGCGAAAGCGUGGGGAGCGAACAGG